CAAAAGUAUAUUAUUCCAUCAUUAAAGGUUCAUCACAAGAAAAUCCCAAAAAAGAACCAAGAAUGUUACCCACCACAAAUCUAACGAUGCCUACAAAACCACACCCAAGAGCAAUACCAUUGUUACAAAAAUUAUUAAUAAUUAUCCUAAAUAUAGAAUGUUAAAUAAAAUACAUCAAUAUUUUAUUACACCAAUUUUUUAUAAAUAAAAAAUCCAGAACAGAAGACUUUUCAUAUCAGCCCCAUGGUCAUCGAUUAUUCCAAGAACAGCAUCUUCUGGGGCUUGUGUGAAAACCAGCAAAGCAUACACCCUCAAUUCGAUUGUUGAAAGACGGGCGCAUAGCAAGUUCCUCAACAACAAUUUUCAGUAGAUUGUGCCGGUUCAUAUAGUUUUACAGAGCGUUGUUUCUUUUAAGACAAAGGCUUCAACC
rnacentral:lncRNA from 1 species